rnacentral:rRNA from 1 species
AUUGAACGCUGGCGGCAGGCCUAACACAUGCAAGUCGAGCGAGAAAGGUCUUCGGACUGAGUACAGCGGCGGACGGGUGAGUAAUGCGCAGGAAUCUACCUGGUAGUGGGGGAUAACUCGGGGAAACUCGAACUAAUACCGCAUACGCCCUACGGGGAAAGCGGGGGACCUUCGGGCCUCGCGCUAUCAGAUGAGCCUGCGUAGGAUUAGCUUGUUGGUGAGGUAAAGGCUCACCAAGGACGACGAUCCUUAGCUGGUCUGAGAGGAUGAUCAGCCACACUGGAACUGAGACACGGUCCAGACUCCUACGGGAGGCAGCAAUGGGGAA